GUAUGAAUUCAACUAGUGGUACAUUCGGUAACGAAGCAGUAGUCGAAAGGGCAGUUGUACAACUAUCCCUAUCGUGCCACCACAGGUGGCCUUUGAGCUUCAUACACAGGCCACGCGUGAUUUUCUUGGGAAUCGGUGUGUUUGUGUACUCAAUAACCAUAAUAGCUACAUAGCAAUACUACCACUUACACACUAAUAUUCAUACUAAUAAAUGUAAACUCAGCACUUGAACAGUUGUGGAGAUGCAUAAAACAAAACGAAAACAAAAUGCUUAUUCCUCCUGUUGUUUCUCGCUCAACUUCUGUUUUUUCUUUCAAAGACAAAAUAUUCUUUCCCUCACCCCAAAACAUGCAUCCAUCGAUAAACCCAACACACAAACGUCUAGAUCGAAUGAAAAAGAAAUGCAAAGGGAUUAAAGCUUGACAUCAGUUCUCUUCAACCAAGAUCAAGACGAGAAAAGCAAGAAAAAUGGAUCAUUCGAGAUAAAAGGGAAAAACGGCGAGGGUUUACCCAAUCGGAAGGUCCUCCUGUCCAAGAUCUAGCGUUAUCGCUUGGGUUUUUACGACGAGUGCUCUAACCGCAACUGAUUGUCCAGAUGAGGUGGCAAGGUGAAUUUGUUUUCGUUGGUAAAAUCUUAAGCGUGUAACCAUCCUCAACAACUCUUUUUUACCGUGGUAAGAAUGUAUCUGGCAUGGUUCACAGUUGAUUAAGAUAACAUGAGUCACGGUAGCAUCAAAUACUAUGGACCUUGAGUUGGAGACAUGGUCCAUCCUUCAAGAUCCAGGCCAUGGUUUACCGGAAUCAAGAUUCACACUUCUGCCAAACUAAAUCACCGAGGAAGUUUCAUCUGAAUCGCCUUCUUGCAGAAGUAAUUGAUCACUAUAAUUAGGGUCCCGUUCUCCAGGGUCAGACAAGCUUCCCUGCUGUUUCCAAUUUCCAGGACUGAUGUUUGAUUGUAGAUAUGAUGGUGAACUGCCAGGAGCCUGUGAUGUUCCCUCAGUCUUGACUUAAGUUAUCAGUAUAUUGACCAUGCCAAUGUGACAAAAAGAUUUUUUCUUGGGUUGUGCAGGUUUCAACAUGCUCAUCAGGAUAUGGCUUGUAACCUAUUGGAAUGACUUGUAGAAAAAGAGUGCGAGGAGUUGUAACGUUUAGCUGACAUGUGGUUUCAAGCUUGAAUAAUUUCCCCUCGCGUCGGUGUGUUUAAUUGCGUGCGAAAGAGGAAAACAGCAGGUUGAAAUGUAACACAGCAACAUGGUAUGAUUCCCGCAGUAUUCCAUAGCAGAACAAUAAUAACACAACAUCUGUGUGAAGCUGAGGCGUGGCGA